UUGAAACAUUGUAAAGGCAAGUUGAGCUGGCCCUUUUAGGGUAUUGUGCUCACUUACCUUUCAAUCUUCAUCCACCUGUGCACUUUUUGUAGAGAGUCUUGAGAACGUGAGCCUUGUAAAAGAGGUUCCUUAAUAUCGGGCUUUCUAUGUCUUUAAAAACUCUGAAUGUAUGUCUUUGAAUGUCAUUAUAAAGGAACUUAAUUGAACCUUUUAAAAACUAUACAACUUUCAGCAACGGAUCUCUUGGCUCUCGCAUCSAUGAARAACGCARCGAAAUGCGAUAAGUAAUGUGAAUUGCARAAUUCAGUGAAUCAUCGAAUCUUUGAACGCACCUUGCGCCUCUUGGUAUUCCGAGAGGCAUGCCUGUUUGAGUGUCAUUAAAUUCUCAACCUCAAAAGCUUUUUGUUUUUGAAGGCUUGGAUGUGGAGGUCUUUGCCGGCUCGCUCAGAGUCAGCUCCUCUCAAAUGUAUUAGUGGAAACUGUUUGUAGCCCACAUUGGUGUGAUAAUUAUCAGCGCUAUUGUGGCUACAAGUUUGGAAAGUGCAUGAAUAGUGCUCUUUCUGCUCUAUGUAUCCGCUUCAAACCGUCCUAAGUUAUUGGACAACUUUGACUAUUUUGACCUCAAAUCAGGUAGGAUUACCCGCUGAACUUAAGCAUAUCAAUAAGCGGAGGAAAAGAAACUAACAAGGAUUCCCCUAGUAACUGCGAGUGAAGAGGGAAAAGCUCAAAUUUAAAAUCUGGCAGUUUCACUGUCCGAGU
rnacentral:rRNA from 1 species